GAUGAACGCUAGCGGAAGGCUUAAUACAUGCAAGUCGAGCGGUAGGUGGCUUCGGCCAUUGAGAGCGGCGCACGGGUGAGUAACGCGUACAUGACCUGCCUGUCAGAAGGGGAUAGCCCUGGGAAACUGGGAUUAAUACCCUAUGGUAUUGAUAUUAUGAAUGAUAUCAAUUAAAGUUGAGGCGCUGACAGAUGGAUGUGCGUCUGAUUAGCUAGUUGGUAGGGUAACGGCCUACCAAGGCGACGAUCAGUAGGGGCGUGAGAGGAUGAUCCGCCACACUGGAACUGAGACACGGUCCAGACUCCUACGGGAGGCAGCAGUGGGGAAUUUUGGACAAUGGGGCAACCCUGAUCCAGCCAUGCCGCGUGAGUGAAGAAGGCCUUCGGGUUGUAAAGCUCUUUCGGCCGGGAAAAAGUACGCAUCAGUUAAUACCUGGUGUGGAUGAUGGUACCGGAAUAAGAAGCACCGGCUAACUACGUGCCAGCACGG
rnacentral:rRNA from 1 species